rnacentral:rRNA from 1 species
GACAUGGGAAGCUUGCUUCCUAUGAAAUCGAGUGGCAAACGGGUGAGUAACGCGUAAACAACCUGCCCUUCGGAUGGGGAUAACAGCCGGAAACGGCUGCUAAUACCGAGUACGAUCUUUUCGUCGCAUGACGGAAAGAAGAAAGGAUGGUCUCUAUACAAAGCUAUCGCCGAAGGAGGGGUUUGCGUCUGAUUAGCUGGUUGGAGGGGUAACGGCCCAACAAGGCGAUGAUCAGUAGCCGGUCUGAGAGGAUGAACGGCCACAUUGGGACUGAGACACGGCCCAGACUCCUACGGGAGGCAGCAGUGGGGAAUCUUCCGCAAUGGACGAAAGUCUGACGGAGCAACGCCGCGUGAGUGAAGAAGGUCUUCGGAUUGUAAAGCUCUGUUAUACGGGACGAAGAAGACGGAUGCCAACAGUAUCCGUCCGUGACGGUACC